GUGGGGAAUAUUGGGCAAUGGGCGCAUGCCUGACCCAGCAACGCCGCGUGAGGGAAGAAGGCUUUCGGGUUGUAAACCUCUGUCCUUGGUGACGAAACAAAUGACGGUAGCCAAGGAGGAAGCCCCGGCUAACUACGUGCCAGCAGCCGCGGUAAUACGUAGGGGGCGAGCGUUGUCCGGAAUUACUGGGCGUAAAGGGUGCGUAGGUGGCCUUUUAAGUUGGAUGUGAAAUACUCGGGCUUAACUUGGGGGGUGCAUCUAAUACUGGAGGGCUAGAGUGCAGGAGAGGAAAGCGAAAUUCCUAGUGUAGCGGUGAAAUGCGUAGAUAUUAGGAGGAACACCAGUGGCGAAGGCGGCUUUCUGGACUGUAACUGACACUGAGGCACGAAAGCGUGGGGAGCAAACAGGAUUAGAAACCCCGGUAGUCC
rnacentral:rRNA from 1 species